CAGCCGCCACGGGAAUACGUAGGUGGCAAGCGUUAUCCGGAAUUAUUGGGCGUAAAGCGCGCGUAGGCGGUUUCUUAAGUCUGAUGUGAAAGCCCACGGCUCAACCGUGGAGGGUCAUUGGAAACUGGGAAACUUGAGUGCAGAAGAGGAAAGUGGAAUUCCAUGUGUAGCGGUGAAAUGCGCAGAGAUAUGGAGGAACACCAGUGGCGAAGGCGACUUUCUGGUCUGUAACUGACGCUGAUGUGCGAAAGCGUGGGGAUCAAACAGGAUUAGAUACCCCCGUAGUCCCUGUCUCUUAUAC
rnacentral:rRNA from 1 species